AACGUACUCAGUUCGGAUUGUAGUCUGCAACUCGACUACAUGAAGCUGGAAUCGCUAGUAAUCGCGGAUCAGCAUGCCGCGGUGAAUACGUUCCCGGGUCUUGUACACACCGCCCGUCACACCAUGGGAGUCGGAAAUGCCCGAAGCCAGUGACCCAAGCGAUAUGCAGGGAGCUGUCGAAGGCAGGUCGGAUAACUGGGGUGAAGUCGUAACAAGGUAAC
rnacentral:rRNA from 1 species